rnacentral:lncRNA from 10 species
CGGCUCCGGCCUCGGCCAUCCCAGGAAGGGGCUCCCACAGUGCAGCGGCGGGCUGAGGGGCUUCUCAAGUGCGGCCAGAGUGGGCGCCGAGGCCGAGGAGGCGCCAAGAGUGAGCGAGGGCUGCGAGGGCUGCCACCACGAUGUCACCUCUCAGUUCUAGGCAAGGCCUCACUCUGUCACUCAGGCUGGAGUGAAGUGGUGCAAUCACAGUUCACUGAAACCUUGAACUCCUGGGUACAAGGAAUCCUCCUGUCUGGAACUACAGGCUCUCUCUUUGCCUGCUGCCAUCCACGUAAAACAUGACUUGCUCCUCCUUGCCUUCUGCCAUGACUGUGAGGCCUCCCCAGCCACAUGGAACUGUAAGUCCAUUAAAUCUCUCUUUCUUUUGUAAAUUGCCCAGUCUCAGGUAUGUCUUUAUCAGCGGCAUGAAAACAGAGUAAUACAGAAACUUGGUACCAGUAGAGUGGGGGGGGGGGGUGUUGUUGAAAAGAUACCCCAAAAUAAGGAAGUGACUUUGGAACUGGGUAACAGUUCCAAAGAGUUGGAACAGUUUGGAGGGCUCAGAAGAAGACAAGGAAAUGUGGGAAAGUCUGGAACUCUCUAGAGACUUGUUGAAUAGCUUUGACCAAAAUGCUGAUAAUGAUAUGGACAAUAAAAUCCAGGCUGAGGUGGUCUCAGAUGGAUAUGAGGAACUUGUUGGGAACUAAAGCAAAGGUGACUCUUGUUAUGUUUUAGCAAAGGGACUGGUGGCAUUUUACCCCUUCCCUAGAGAUUUGUGGAAAACUUUGAACUUGAGAAAGAUGAUGUAGGGUAUUUGAUGGAAAAAAUUUCUAAGCAGCAAAACAUUCACUUCAAAAAAUUUGAAGUGACUUGGGUGCUGUUAAAGGCAUUCAGUUUCAAAACAAAACUAGUGCAUAAAAGUUUGGAAAAUUUGCAGCCUAACAAUGCAA